rnacentral:rRNA from 1 species
GAUGAACGCUAGCGACAGGCCUAACACAUGCAAGUCGAGGGGCAGCGGAGAGGUAGCAAUACCUUUGCCGGCGACCGGCGCACGGGUGAGUAACACGUAUGCAAUCCACCUGUAACAGGGGGAUAACCCGGAGAAAUCCGGACUAAUACCCCAUAAUAUGGGCGCUCCGCAUGGAGGGUCCAUUAAAGAGAGCAAUUUUGGUUACAGACGAGCAUGCGCUCCAUUAGCCAGUUGGCGGGGUAACGGCCCACCAAAGCGACGAUGGAUAGGGGUUCUGAGAGGAAGGUCCCCCACAUUGGAACUGAGACACGGUCCAAACUCCUACGGGAGGCAGCAGUGAGGAAUAUUGGUCAAUGGUCGGCAGACUGAACCAGCCAAGUCGCGUGAGGGAAGACGGCCCUAUGGGUUGUAAACUGCUUUUAUAAGGGAAUAAAGUGAGUCUCGUGAGACUUUUUGCAUGUACCUUAUGAAUAAGGACCGGCUAAUUCCGUGCCAGCAGCCGCGGU